AGGAUUAUAGUUAAAUAUAACAUUUGAAUUGCAAUCUUAAGGUAUCUAAGUGAUUAAUCUUA
rnacentral:tRNA from 1 species